rnacentral:tRNA from 1 species
GGGGGCGUGGCGAAAUUGGUAAACGCAAGAGACUUAAAAUCUCUCGUCCUUUGGAUUUAUGGGUUCAAGUCCCUUCGCCCCCACCA